GACGAACGCUGGCGGCGUGCCUAAUACAUGCAAGUAGAACGCUGAAGGAGGAGCUUGCUUCUCUGGAUGAGUUGCGAACGGGUGAGUAACGCGUAGGUAACCUGCCUGGUAGCGGGGGAUAACUAUUGGAAACGAUAGCUAAUACCGCAUAAGAGUAGAUGUUGCAUGACAUUUGCUUAAAAGGUGCAAUUGCAUCACUACCAGAUGGACCUGCGUUGUAUUAGCUAGUUGGUGGGGUAACGGCUCACCAAGGCGACGAUACAUAGCCGACCUGAGAGGGUGAUCGGCCACACUGGGACUGGGACACGGCCCAGACUCCUACGGGGGGCAGCAGUAGGGAAUCUUCGGCAAUGGACGGAAGUCUGACCGAGCAACGCCGCGUGAGUGAAGAAGGGUUUCGGAUCGUAAAGCUCUGUUGUAAGAGAAGAACGAGUGUGAGAGUGGAAAGUUCACACUGUGACGGUAUCUUACCAGAAAGGGACGGCUAACUACGUG
rnacentral:rRNA from 1 species